rnacentral:rRNA from 1 species
CGCGUAGGCGGCCUCCUAAGUCGAACGUGAAAUCCCCGGGCUCAACCCGGGAACUGCGUCCGAUACUGGAAGGCUUGAAUCCGGGAGAGGGAUGCGGAAUUCCAGGUGUAGCGGUGAAAUGCGUAGAUAUCUGGAGGAACACCGGUGGCGAAGGCGGCAUCCUGGACCGGCAUUGACGCUGAGGCGCGAAAGCCAGGGGAGCAAACG